rnacentral:rRNA from 1 species
GAUGAACGCUGGCGGCGUGCCUAAUACAUGCAAGUCGAGCGAACGGACGAGAAGCUUGCUUCUCUGAUGUUAGCGGCGGACGGGUGAGUAACACGUGGAUAACCUACCUAUAAGACUGGGAUAACUUCGGGAAACCGGAGCUAAUACCGGAUCAUAUUUUGUACCGCAUGGUUCAAAAGUGAAAGACGGUCUUGCUGUCACUUAUAGAUGGAUCCGCGCUGCAUUAGCUAGUUGGUAAGGUAACGGCUUACCAAGGCAACGAUGCAUAGCCGAUCUGAGAGGGUGAUCGGCCACACUGGAACUGAGACACGGUCCAGACUCCUACGGGAGGCAGCAGUAGGGAAUCUUGCGCAAUGGGCGAAAGCCUGACGGAGCAACGCCGCGUGAGUGAUGAAGGUCUUCGGAUCGUAAAACUCUGUUAUUAGGGAAGAACAGAUGUGUAAGUAACUGUGCACAUCUUGACGGUACCUAAUCAGAAAGCCACGGCUAACUACGUG